rnacentral:rRNA from 1 species
CCUACGGGUGGCUGCAGUGGGGAAUAUUGGACAAUGGGGGGAACCCUGAUCCAGCCAUGCCGCGUGUGUGAAGAAGGCCCUCGGGUUGUAAAGCACUUUCAGUGAGGAAGAACGCCUGGUGGUUAAUACCCAUCAGGAAAGACAUCACUCACAGAAGAAGCACCGGCUAACUCCGUGCCAGCAGCCGCGGUAAUACGGAGGGUGCGAGCGUUAAUCGGAAUUACUGGGCGUAAAGCGCGCGUAGGUGGCUUGAUAAGCCGGUUGUGAAAGCCCCGGGCUCAACCUGGGAACGGCAUCCGGAACUGUCAAGCUAGAGUGCAGGAGAGGAAGGUGGAAUUCCUGGUGUAGCGGUGAAAUGCGUAGAGAUCGGGAGGAAUACCAGUGGCGAAGGCGGCCUUCUGGACUGUCACUGACACUGAGGUGCGAAAGCGUGGGUAGCAAACAGGAUUAGAUACCCGUGUAGUC